AGGGGCGUAGCUCAGUGGUAGAGCAGCGGCCUUUUAAGCCGAAGGUCGUGGGUUCGAUCCCCACCGCCCCUACCA
rnacentral:tRNA from 6 species